rnacentral:lncRNA from 1 species
CUUGAAGCUGAAAAGAGGAGGAGGAAGGGCAGAUUAAAAAUAAAACAUGCACUGUUCCUUGUGGUGGCAGCAACUUAGGGCAGGUGGGCCCUUCGAACUUGGGAUGCUCUGCAUGGUCCAGCAGCCACAUUGGGUGGAGCUGUGUGCAGCCAUGGGAACGCACAGAACACCUCAUCUCCUGCUGCCACUGCUUCAGGUUGCUGGCCACAUUUAUGAGGGGGAGUUUCUCAGCUCUGUUCUUCCAUUCAGCCACCCCUCCUCUGUCUGCCCCACAUGUGAUGCAGCCCAGCUCCAGCUGAAUGGCUGGAGGGGAUGGUGAUGCCACUUGUUACUGUGAAGUGACGUCAGCUCAGCUGGAAGGAAAAUCUGCAGUAAGAACAAACAUGGUGGUAUCAAGAAAGCCGGAACAAAUCACUGCACCCAAGUGGCAUCCUCUAGUAGAGUAGGAGAUGUAGUCUUGUUCUUACAUUGCUGUUCAGGUGUAUGUACAAUUCCUAGGAAAUCCAGCGUCUUCAUUUCUCGUGACUUUGUGGUGCCAAUGACCAUAGACAUCAAAUUCUGCUUUUCUCCACGAUGAACGUGAUGAUUCAAAGCAAACCUCCUAACUUCUGUGGUCUGCUUGAGCAAUUAGGUCUGAGUUACAGAAAUAAAA